rnacentral:rRNA from 1 species
AUGGAGGACCACGGCGCCGGCUGCCACCCCUUGCUCCACGGCCACCUCCAGCCGGCCCACGCCGCGCUCCCCUACGGCCCGUGGGACCCGUCCCUCGCCGCGUUCGACGACGGCAACCACCAGCAGCAGCAGCUGGAGUGCUUCUCGACGGCGUCGGAGCUGCGGGACGCGCUGCUGCGCGCGCUGGCCGAGCUGGAGGCGGCGCGGGGCGCGCACCGGGAGGAGCUGCGGCGCGUGGAGCACGAGGCGGCGCGGCUCGUGGCGUGCGCGGCGGCCGAGCGCGACGAGCUCCGGCGCCACUGCCACUCCCUCCUGCUCCUGCUCCACCACCACACCGCCGCCCAGCCACCGCCGCCGCAGAGCGUGCCCGACCCGCCGCUCCACGGCGUCCUGGGGCUGGGAGGAGGAGUCGUGGCCAUGGACGAGGCCGCCACGUCGGAGGAGGAGGCCGAGGUGGAGAUGGCGCUGGCGCGGCGGCUGCCGGAGAAGGGGCGGCUGGUGGAGGCGGUGGUGUCGGCGGGCCCGCUCCUGCAGACCCUGCUCCUGGCCGGCCCGCUCCCGCGCUGGCGCCACCCGCCCCCCCCGGCCUCGGCCGACGUCAUACCGCCCUUCAACCCCGGCCGCCCCGACGGCAACUACUCCCUAUCCUCCACGUCCGCGUCGUCCUCGCCGGAGAGCAACUGCAGCGGCGGGAACGCCCCGCCGCCGGCAGCUCAGCCGCAGCAGCACGCCCUCCCCUGCUUCCACAUGAGCUCCUCCUCCUUCUGCAUGUAG